GAGUAAUACGUAGACAACCUGCCCCUUGGACCGGGAUAGCCACGGGAAGCUGUGGGUAAUACCGGAUGACAUCGUCGGGCCUCCUGACCUGACGAUCAAAUGGUGCUUCCGCCGAGGGAGGGGUUUACGUCCUAUUAGCUAGUUGGUGAGGUAACGGCUCACCAAGGCGGUGAUGGGUAGCGGGCGUGAGAGCGUGACCCGCCACACUGGGACUGAGACACUGCCCAGACUCCUACGGGAGGCUGCAGUCGAGAAUCAUUGUCAAUGGGCGCAAGCCUGAACAUGCGACGCCGCGUGGAGGAUGAAGGCCCUCGGGUUGUAAACUCCUGUCAGGGGGGAUGAAUGGCCGACGGUUCGACUGUCGGUCACACUUGACAUAACCCCAAAGGAAGCUCCGGCUAACUCCGUGCCAGCAGCCGCGGUAAUACGGAGGGAGCGAACGUUGUUCGGAAUUACUGGGCUUAAAGCGCACGUAGGCGGUUCGGUAAGUCGGGUGUGAAAUCCCUCGGCUCAACCGAGGAACGGCAUUCGAUACUGCUGGACUUGAGUAAGGUAGGGGGGCGUGGAACUCCGGGUGGAGCGGUGAAAUGCGUUGAUAUCCGGAGGAACGCCGGUGGUGAAAACGGCGCCCUGGGCCUUAACUGACGCUGAGGUGCGAA
rnacentral:rRNA from 1 species